UACGUAGGGUGCGAGCGUUGUCCGGAAUUAUUGGGCGUAAAGAGCUUGUAGGCGGUUUGUCGCGUCUGCUGUGAAAAUCCGGGGCUCAACCCCGGACUUGCAGUGGGUACGGGCAGACUAGAGUGUGGUAGGGGAGACGUGGAAUUCCUGGUGUAGCGGUGAAAUGCGCAGAUAUCAGGAGGAACACCGAUGGCGAAGGCAGGUCUCUGGGCCACUACUGACGCUGAGAAGCGAAAGCAUGGGGGAGCGAACAGG
rnacentral:rRNA from 1 species